AUAUCUGCCCAACACUCCAACUAUGUACGCAAUAUCUGGACGCGUACAAAGUUGGAGUGUUGGGCAGAUAUUUAAGCAAUCCUGGAAUGGAUAAUUGGAAAGCAGCAAAACUAGCCAUGCGGUAUCUACUGAGAACAAAACAUUACAUGCUCACAUACAGAAGGUCGGAUAAGUUAGAGAUCAUUGGGUAUUCAGACUCCGACUUUGCAGGAUGUCAAGAUAGCAUGAAAUUUACAUCAGGCUAUAUAUAUUUGCUUGCUGGAGGAGCUAUCUCAUGGAAGAAUGCUAAAUAGACAAUCAUAGCUUCUUCCACCAUGGCAACUGAGUUUAUAGAAUUCUAUGAGGCAUUUAAUCAUGGAAUAUGGUUGAGAAACUUUGUCACUGGGCUAUAAAUCAUAGAUGGAAUAAAAAGACCACUUAAAAUUUUCUGUGACGAUAAGUCAGUAGUCUUGUAUUCCAAUAACAACAGGAGUUCAAGUAAGUCAAAGCACAUAGACAUUAAAUUCCUAGUUGUUAAAGAAAGAAUUCAAAGUGGUCAGGUGUCUAUAGAGUAUAUUGGCACAAACUCCAUGGUCGCGGAUCAGCUUACUAAGGGAUUGCCACCCAAGGUCUUUCAUGGGCAUACUGCUCAUAUAGGUGUCAUGUCUUUUGAGAAUAUUCAGUUUUAGUGGGAGUUUGUGUUUUUGGUUUUCUAUUAUAAACACAUUUUCAGUUUAUGGAUAUUUUGAGGAUAUUUUCUGCAGAAAUAAAAUUUCUUUCAGUUAUUCACACUUUGAUUUUGUUAUGGUUUGAUCUCAUUAAGGUUUAAAGUGGACCAGUUGAAAAUAGACAUGUUCAGAUCACAUUGCAUGUGAUUUUCAUGCUACACAUCCAUACUUGAUCUAUGUCAUUUGAUUAUGUUAAUAUACCUGAUUAGGGAUGGACUUAGUUACGACAUUCGUAACGAAAGUUGCCUUAGUUCUAUGUUGGCCUAAUUGAUGGACAAGAUUAUUUGGAAAUGCUUUUGAAUCAUGAUAGUAAAAAUUUGAGCUCAUAAGGUUAUAUUAU
rnacentral:misc_RNA from 1 species